UGCCAUUCCUCAGAACGAAGACUCUUCCUCCCACGUUGCAAAAAUUUAUCACCCCAAGCAUCCAGCAAAACAAAAGUUUCAUGCUCAGUCCAAUCAGUAAGUGGAUUACGCCCAGCAAAUGAGGGUUUUGGAGCUGAUGAGGUUGUAACAGGAGGUGCCGGGACACGAGGAGCAAAUUCAUAGCUUGAAACUAAGCUUUUUAGCUUUCGUUUUUUAGGAUGCUUUUCCAAGUCAACAUCAUCAAUCCUCCUGCUAUAAUUCUUUUGAUUGCCCUCCUCAUCCUCUUCUUCUUCUUCUUCUUC
rnacentral:misc_RNA from 1 species